UGGCUCAGUUGGUAGAGCAUGGUGUUUGCAACGCCAGCAUGGUGUGUGCAACGCCAGGGUUGUGGGUUCGACUCCCAC
rfam:Salmo salar isolate Sally breed double haploid chromosome ssa22, whole genome shotgun sequence.